rnacentral:rRNA from 1 species
CGGUAAUACAGAGGGGCAAGCGUUGUCCGGAGUUACUGGGCGUAAAGCGCACGUAGGCGGUCCUGCAAGUGGUGUGUGAAACCAAUCAGCUUAACUGAUUGACGCCAUGCCAAACUGCGAGACUCGAGUCAUGGAGAGGUAGUUCGAAUUGCCGGUGUAGUGGUGAAAUGCGUAGAUAUCGGCAGGAAGACCAAGGGAGAAAUCAGACUACUGGCCAUUGACUGACGCUCAGGUGCGAAAGCGUGGGGAGCGAACUGGAUUAGAUACCCAGGUAGUCCACGCCGUAAACGAUGUAUGCUCGGUAUGUGUGGGUGUAUAGCCCAUGGGUACCUCAGGAAACCCCGGUAAGCAUACCGCCUGGGAAGUACGAACGCAAGUUUAAAACUCAAAGGAAUUGACGGGGCCCCGCACAAGCAGCGGAGCGUGUGGUUAAUUCGAUGCAACACGAAGAACCUUACCUGGGUUUGACAUGGACCUGCACGGCCGAGAGAUCGGUCA